rnacentral:rRNA from 1 species
GGGUCAGUAGGUUGGUCGUGCCACCGGUACGUACUGGUCUCACUGAUUCCUCCUUCCUGAAGAACCGUAAUGCCAUUAAUUUGGUGUUGCGGAGAAACAGGACAGUUACUUUGAAAAAAUUAGAGUGUUUAAAGCAAGCUAACGCUUGAAUACAUUAGCAUGGAAUAAUGAAAUAGGACGAUCGAUCCUAUUUUGUUGGUUUCUAGGAUUGACGUA